rnacentral:rRNA from 1 species
CACUCCUGCGGGAGGCAGCAGUAGGGAAUCUUCCACAAUGGGUGCAAACCUGAUGGAGCAAUGCCGCGUGAGUGAAGAAGGUCUUCGGAUCGUAAAGCUCUGUUGUUAGAGAAGAACACGUGCUAGGUAACUACUAGCGCCUUGACGGUAUCUAACCAGAAAGUCACGGCUAACUACGUGCCAGCAGCCGCGGUAAUACGUAGGUGACAAGCGUUGUCCGGAUUUAUUGGGCGUAAAGGGAGCGCAGGCGGUCUGUUUAGUCUAAUGUGAAAGCCCACGGCUUAACCGUGGAACGGCAUUGGAAACUGACAGACUUGAAUGUAGAAGAGGAAAAUGGAAUUCCAAGUGUAGCGGUGGAAUGCGUAGAUAUUUGGAGGAACACCAGUGGCGAAGGCGAUUUUCUGGUCUAACAUUGACGCUGAGGCUCGAAAGCGUGGGGAGCGAACAGGAUUAGAAACCCCUGUAGUCCCAUGA